UGCUACAAUGGGUAGUACAGAGGGUUGCCAAGACGUAAGGUGGAUCUAAUCCAUUGAAACUACACUAAGAUCGGAUUGUAGGCUGAAACGCGCCUACAUGAAGCUGGAGUUACUAGUAAUCGCAGAACAGAAUGCUGCGGUGAAUGCGUUCCCGGGUCUUGUACACACCGCCCGUCACACCACGGGAGGUGGAGACGCCCGAAGCCGAUUAUCUAACCUUUUGGAAGAAGUCGUCGAAGGUGGAAUCAAUAACUGGGGUGAAGUCGUAACAAGGUAGCCGUAUCGGAAGGUGCGGCUGGAUCACCUCCUUUCUAAGGAGA
rnacentral:rRNA from 1 species